UGUGAAUGAUGAUACUCUUUUCCUGACUUAAUUGUGGGGGGUACAAACUGAUUUAAUGAGGCUGAUGC